rnacentral:rRNA from 1 species
AGUCGAGCGGUAGAGAGAAGCUUGCUUCUCUUGAGAGCGGCGGACGGGUGAGUAAUGCCUAGGAAUCUGCCUGGUAGUGGGGGAUAACGUUCGGAAACGGACGCUAAUACCGCAUACGUCCUACGGGAGAAAGCAGGGGACCUUCGGGCCUUGCGCUAUCAGAUGAGCCUAGGUCGGAUUAGCUAGUUGGUGAGGUAAUGGCUCACCAAGGCGACGAUCCGUAACUGGUCUGAGAGGAUGAUCAGUCACACUGGAACUGAGACACGGUCCAGACUCCUACGGGAGGCAGCAGUGGGGAAUAUUGGACAAUGGGCGAAAGCCUGAUCCAGCCAUGCCGCGUGUGUGAAGAAGGUCUUCGGAUUGUAAAGCACUUUAAGUUGGGAGGAAGGGUUGUAGAUUAAUACUCUGCAAUUUUGACGUUACCGACAGAAUAAGCACCGGCUAACUCUGUGCCAGCAGCCGCGGUAAUACAGAGGGUGCAAGCGUUAAUCGGAAUUACUGGGCGUAAAGCGCGCGUAGGUGGUUUGUUAAGUUGGAUGUGAAAUCCCCGGGCUCAACCUGGGAACUGCAUUCAAAACUGACUGACUAGAGUAUGGUAGAGGGUGGUGGAAUUUCCUGUGUAGCGGUGAAAUGCGUAGAUAUAGGAAGGAACACCAGUGGCGAAGGCGACCACCUGGACUAAUACUGACACUGAGGUGCGAAAGCGUGGGGAGCAAACAGGAUUAGAUACCCUGGUAGUCCACGCCGUAACGAUGUCAACUAGCCGUUGGAAGCCUUGAGCUUUUAGUGGCGCAGCUAACGCAUUAAGUUGACCGCCUGGGGAGUACGGCCGCAAGGUUAAAACUCAAAUGAAUUGACGGGGGCCCGCACAAGCGGUGGAGCAUGUGGUUUAA